rnacentral:rRNA from 1 species
UACGUAGGUGACAAGCGUUGUCCGGAUUUACUGGGCGUAAAGAGCGCGCAGGCGGUCGAUCAAGUCGAGUGUGAAAGCCCCCGGCUCAACUGGGGAGGGUCAUUCGAUACUGAUCGACUCGAAGGCAGGAGAGGGUAGUGGAAUUCCCGGUGUAGUGGUGAAACGCGUAGAUAUCGGGAGGAACACCAGUGGCGAAGGCGACUACCUGGCCUGUUCUUGACGCUGAGGCGCGAAAGCUAGGGGAGCAAACGGG